rnacentral:rRNA from 1 species
AACGAACGCUGGCGGCAGGCCUAACACAUGCAAGUCGAGCGAGGACUUCGGUCCUAGCGGCGGACGGGGGAGUAACGCGUGGGAACGUGCCCGUUGCUUCGGAAUAGCCCUGGGAAACUGGGAGUAAUACCGGAUGAGCCCUUUGGGGGAACGAUUUAUCGGGGAAGGAUCGGCCCGGGUUGGAUUAGGUAGUUGGUGGGGUAAUGGCCUACCAAGCCGACGAUCCAUAGCUGGUGUGAGAGGAUGAUCAGCCACACUGGGACUGAGACACGGACCAGACUCCUACGGGAGGCAGCAGUGGGGAAUCUUAGACAAUGGGGGAAAACCUGAUCUAGCCAUGCCGCGUGAGAGAUGCAGGCCUUAGGGUUGUAAAGCUCUUUCAGAUGGGAAGAUAAUGACGGUACCAGCAGAAGAAGCCCCGGCUAACUACGUG